rnacentral:lncRNA from 1 species
AUAUCUUAUUUUCUGUUGUUCAACAGAGAAUAGAAUUAACAUUCUUAUUUUUGAUUCUUCAACAACCGAAAAUGUUAUAUUUUUUAUUUUUCGACAACCAAGAAUGUUAUAUUUUUUAUUUUUCAACAACCCUAGAACAACCGUGAACAACCCUUGAACAACCGAAACUAAGACUGAACAUUAUGAGCCCCACUAUUUUCGAUUGUUCAAUUAACUUAUUUUCGAUUUUUGAACAACCGAAAAUCUAGCCAUUUUGAUUGUUCAAAAACCAAAAAAUGGUACAAAAAUAAUGUCUGUUUUUAAGAAUCUUCGUUAUGAAGUGAAAAAAACAAGCAGUCCAAAAAUGACAAAAGCUAUUUGGUAUUUUGAUAAUAACAAAAACCAGUGUUUUAAAAAACGCCGAGUCAAACCGGACUCGCCCGGUUCGACUCGGAAAUCGUGAAAAGGGGACCGGAUCGCCUAAAAAAUCGAAAAUCGUUCGGUUCUAG